CUCACAGGCACUUGCUGAGACCUAGGCUGAAAAAUGUGACUGACGCGGUCAACGUGGUCGAAGUGAGCCACACUUUGCAGGGAUUCUGAAUACACAGCGUUAAGAAAACCAAAGAUUUCCCAGGCUAGGAGACCGCCGUCGGUGUGGUGGUGUGAUUUGUGAUGGUGUGAUUCAACAAAAACGAAUGACAUGAAAACCUAUCCUGAUCUGACACUGCAGUCAAAAACCAGAGUACUGGGGAUCAAACUCAGGACCUCAGGUUUGCCAGGAAGGCACUCUUAAGAGAAGACAAAGCCUUCUGUGAUCUGGAGCCACAGCCGGCCAGAAUUGCAAGACAAAGCCCAUUUUCCACGAAGGAAGGCCCUUCUCCCCAUGUUCCAGUACAUCCAGUGCUUUCAGGGCACCGAAACGUCCUCAAGUGAGCAAGAGAAAAUGUUCAUGGGACAGAGCCCCUUGGCAGUAUAUUACAGCUAUAUUUGACACAGGAAAGCACUUAAUCAUGCCUACUAUCAGCACACCACACCCACCUUUGUGAGGACCCUUAGAGGCUGCGAGAUUUAUCACUGUGAACUUGAACUGGAUGGACAGGCCCUAAUGGACAAUGCCGGCUGCUUCUGAGAAGUUCAGGCUAAAAGUGUCCCAUCCAUGACCCAACUGCCAAGAGAAAGUUCAGGAAUGCCAAGCCACUUCCCAGGGCAGGCUUGAGUGGGUCCCUUCUGCUCAGACUUUUUCCUUAAGUUACUGGACUGAAUGACAAGGCAAGAAACUCCCUGAGCCCCAAUUUGCCACCAAAAUGGCCUCUUCUGAGGGCCCCUCAGCCACAUCUUCCUUUACGCACAAAUAUGCAGAGAAGCAAGGAGCAUCCCUGUGGUGCUUUUGCACUCAACCAACCUCUGGAGUUGUGUUUCAUCUGCACCUCUAUGUGCCCCGGGUGGCCAGCCCAGCACAAGGGUCAUACCAUUCAUUUCCCACGGUGGAUUUCGGAG
ensembl:lncRNA